GAUGAACGCUAGCUACAGGCUUAACACAUGCAAGUCGAGGGCAGCACAGUGUAGCAAUACAUGGGUGGCGACCGGCGCACGGGUGCGUAACGCGUAUCCAACCUUCCCGUUACUCUCGGAUAGCCUUCCGAAAGGGAGAUUAAUACGAGAUGGUGUUGAAAUUCCGCAUGUUAUUUCAACUAAAGAUUCAUCGGUAACGGAUGAGGAUGCGUACGAUUAGCUUGUUGGCGGGGUAACGGCCCACCAAGGCAACGAUCGUUAGGGGUUCUGAGAGGAAGGUCCCCCACACUGGAACUGAGACACGGUCCAGACUCCCACGGGAGCAGCAGUGAGGAAUAUUGGUCAAUGGGCGGGAGCCUGAACCAGCCAAGUAGCGUGAAGGAUGACUGCCCUACGGGUUGUAAACUUCUUUGUUGGAAUAAAGACGCUACGUGUAGCGUUGUGCAUGUACCUUACGAAUAAGCAUCGGCUAAUUCCGUG
rnacentral:rRNA from 1 species